GAGCUCGGAAAAAUAGCUCCUCUCUCUCCUUUCCACUUCCUCCUGGGGAAGAAUCUAUCAUAUCAAUGCCUGUACAAUCAUGGAGAAUUUGGCCAUUGCAAAUAACAUGCGGUAUAUAAACAUGUCCUUCAAUGCAACAUUCUACAAAUUCCAUGUUGUUCUCAGUUAAGGUUCCUGUUUUAUCUGUGAAGACAUACUCAAUCUGUCCCAACUCUUCAUUGAGGUCGGAAGUAUUCACCAGUGGUCCUUCACCUGUGUCUUCAUCAAACAUUUCCUCAUCCCACGUAAGGAAAUAAGAACCAAGAAAUUUCUGCAUUUCCACGGUGACAUACAUGGAUACAGGAAUAAUGUAGUUGAAGAGAACCAUGAAUGCAAGGAAGUCUGUAAAUGCUUGAAGAAACUGAUUUCUUUUCCUUUCUGGCUCUGUUUUCUGAUUAUAC
rnacentral:lncRNA from 1 species